GGAAGAGGUAAUCCCGCGGCGGCUGCUUGGCUGAGGUGUUCGCGGUGGCGGCGCGGCGGCCGCUUCCUUCUCCCGCCGCCGCCUCGGCGCCCGCCCGCCAUGGCAGAGUAAAAGCCGCCCUCAUUCUCCAGGAGAACGUAAUGCUGACAGCAGCUGCCAGAGUCGCGAGCCAGAGUUUGACAAGAAAUUGAAGAAAAAUGAACCAAAUUAGGUGGUUCCUGCAACAGAAUGCUGCGCAUUUUCUGCUCUCUACAAAUGGGGGAGGUUACAUUAUUAAGUAGAUAGCAGGCAGCAGGUUGAAAACUCACAGCAUGCGGAACACACACUGGCAUGUUGGCUUCUCAGCGCUGCAUGUGUUCCUGCGCCUUCGUCCUUCCUGCGCUGCAGACACUGAUGGUUUUGAGGCGCCAGAAGAGCCCAGCAGUAGGUCCUUCUCCGAGACUCCCUGUCAGUGAAGAUGCGGGACCUCAACGGGGAGAGCCGGCCCGUCCAGACCGCCAGGUGAGGCCACGGUGGGGAUGCUACCCACCGUGCAUGCGACCGUCCCCCGACCUGCCCGUGCCUUCACUAAGG
rnacentral:lncRNA from 1 species